AUGUACUUAAUGCGUGGCUGCCUUGUUAACGCCCCUAAACCUUUUUUAAGAAAUGACCUGCAAUUGCACAUUUUGCACAUUCAUGCACCAGGUGGAGCAGUGAUGUGUAAUCCAGGCCCACAGGUAGAUUGGAAGUGCAUGAGGUUUAGAUAUAAAGCAUAUAUAUAUAUAUAUAUAUAUAGGUUGAAGGCAAAAAUCAAGGCAGCUCAGAGGGAAGUGAGCCAAAUGACAGAGGCCCAGGGAGGUGCAAUGAAAAGACCGAUGCCCAAGAGGUACAGCCAGAUGACCAAACCUGAAGCACUCGAAACUGCCAAGCAAAGGCUACAAGCCUUGGCCAGCCUCCUAAAGAGAUACACCAGAGACAACGAAGCCAGGGGAAUAAACCGGCUGUUCGCAACACAACCUGCGAAAGUGUACUCUCAAUGGCAGGGUAAUAACAACAGAGCAGACCCACCAAGGCUGGAAACUGAACAGUACUGCAAGGGUAUAUGGGAGAGAGAGGCAUCACACAACAGCGAUGCACAGUGGCUGGUGGAUCUGAGGGAAGAUCACAGCAACCUCCCUGAACAGAAUCCAGUGACUAUCAUAGUGGCAGACAUCCAACAAAGAGUCUCAGGUAUGAAAAACUGGACAGCACCUGGCCCUGACAUGAUCCACACCUACUGGCUAAAGAAGCUCACUGCAAUCCAUGAGCGCCUGGCAGCACAAAUGAACCAGCUGCUAAGGGAUGGGACUCACCCUGAAUGGCUAACCGAAGGGCGAACGAUCCUGAUAAUGAAGGAUCCCUCAAAGGGUACAGUCCCAUCCAACUACCGGCCAAUAACCUGCCUCUCCACAACAUGGAAACUCAUGUCAGGCAUCAUCACGGCUAAGAUAAGUGGGCACAUGGGUCAAUACAUGAGCGAAGCACAGAAGGGCAUUGGUAAGGAUACCAGAGGAGCCAAACACCAACUCCUGGUUGACAGAACAAUUGCCCAAGACUGCAGAGUGCGACAUACCAACCUGUGCACAGCCUGGAUCGACUAG
rnacentral:lncRNA from 1 species